GAGGCAGUGGCUGCAGCAGCAGGAAUUGUGCCUGGAGCUGGGAAUGCUGGGGGAGAAAACCAGCAAAACCCACCGUGGCCUCCCCCAAAAUGGCAAUUUCCUCUUGCAGGAGCAUUUCAGUAGGUGCAUCUCUGCCCCGGUGGUGAGUGAGGCACUCCCAGGACAAACCCACCUUGGGUUCCUCAGAUGUCCAAGAGAACUUGUCCAAGGAGCAGCUUCCAGCCCUGGGAAGGACAAGAUGAGUGUCUCCUCAGCCUUCUCAUUUCCCUGAAGCCUGAGCAGCCUCCACCUCCUGCAAGGUGAGCUGGGCUCCUCCUCCUGCAGGGACCAUGGAGGGAUAAGUGACUUGGCACUUGCAACAGAUCCAGCUGUGAUUUCCCAACAGAAAUCACCCUAACAACCAACUUACAUCAUCACAGAAGAGAUCCAACUCCUUA